UCUUUGAGAUCUUUUCCAACUUGAGAGAUUCCAUGAUUCUAUGAUCAUCUUUAUAGCACUCUCUGACUCUCUCUAGAAUCUCCCUUGUCUUUCUUGAACUGGAGAGACCAGAACUGGGCACUGUACUCCGUGUGGCCUCACUGGGGCAGAGUAAAGGGGGAAGAUUAUCUCUCUCUACCUGCUGGCCAUGCUCUUUUUAAUACACCCCAGGAUAUCACUGAUUUCUUGGACACAAGGACACACUGCUGGCUCAUGGGCAACCUGUUGACCAUAAGGAUACAGAAGUCUUUCUUUUCACCGUGGAGAAAGUACUCCAAACUUUUGUUUGUUUUGUUUUUUGUUUGGCCAGACACAUUUUGGCCUUGGAUGAAAUUAGUCCUUUCAAUACUUAGAGGCCUCAUUGCAUUCAGACCUUUAUUUAGAACAACAUACAGCCUUCCAAACAAAUCUAACUACAAAAGGGUAAUCUGAAGAACCUCAUUGUCUGCUUUGUUUUAAAAUAAGGAAUUUGUACUCAUUCAUACUCACGCAUUUUCAGUCUUCUCUUGCCCUCUUUUCGUUGUGUUUGCAAGCCUUCCCUAAGAAACCCACUCAGAAUCAGCAGUUUCUUCUUCAUUUUCCACACCCAGGGAGGCAAGUGAAAUUAACGAAUCUAGACUGAUUUCCAACUGUUCUAGCUGAGAAAGAGGUGAAACUCGCACUGUGGUUGUACCGUGGCUUUUAGCCACACCUUAGGGCAGCAAGUGGGGAAUAAUUAGGGUGCAAAUGAAAAUAUAUGUACACUGAUUUUCCUAAUGACAUGUGUGUGAACAGCGGGGCUUACUGGGAGUCCUAAAAUGUCUCACUGAAGGCAGCCCAGGCUGGUUCAUAAAAUUCCCUUUUAGAAACUGCCCCUGCAAAGGCUCAGCGCAGAUGGUGUUGGUUACAUGAGGGGGCCUUGCCUUGUCAGGUGUUCAGUGCACCUCAGCUAUACGGUCAAAAUCUGGACUGAAUCAUUAUCAAAUCCAGCAAUGUUUUAUUCUGCCAUUUGUUUGCCCCUGUCAGUUUGACCACAGGAUUAUGUAGGUGAAAAAUACAAAUGACUAGUCACGUGGCAGAUUGAGUUCGACAAAUCUCACAAACCACACCUGAUCUGUUACAACUCAGUCAAACAACCUAGCAGAGUUUCACCUUCCAAAAUGCAGAGGAAGCCCAACAGUCUCAUUUUCAACAGCGCCAUGACAGUGAAUGCAGAUGGAUGCGCAAACAUGCCAUAUAUUUAUGUCAUUCAUUAUGAACAAUGUAAGGGGUUUAAUGUGAUAUUCAGAAAGGUCAUGAAGUUUCAGAUAAUGUUCUGUCUUCCUUAGUUUUCCAUGGGAGAGAAAUUUAAUACCUAUACAGCACAAUGAAGAGAUUUAUAUUCAGAAAUAUUAUUUUGUUGUCCAAAUGGAUGGGAUUUUUUUUCUCUGCUGCUGCUUGGACUUUUACAGUGUAGCAGUGCUUAAUAGUGAUUCGUCCGAGGCUUUUAGCACCCUACUGCUUUCUAUUUCAAUUUGCUGUCUUUUCCAUGAUCUAUGAAGAGGUGAACAGCCAGGUUUGCAGUGGCAACUUCCCCAUCCUCCUCUGCGUGGAUUUCCCUCCUAGGAGCAGCCAAGCUUCCCUACUGCUGCCUUAUGGCUGUUUGGCUAAAGAAUGAUGGUGGCGGUCACAAUAAACCUCUCGGGCAGUUUUCCAGAGUACUCAUCCCUGCAGUGACUUUGCUAACAAAGCUUGCAGAAAUUUGUGCACCUAAUGAACCUACUUUCUGCUAUGGAUAUCUCAAAGUAGACUUCUCCUGGCACCAGUUGCCCGCAGGUCGAAGAGGAAGAGCGUUUUUAUACAAUGCCAUUACCAUGAGAAAAAAAAAAAAAAAAAAAAAAAAAAAAAAGAAUAAAACUUUAUGGUUAUAUUCAGCACUUAGUUAAAAGAUGGAUGACCCUACAUGGUAAAUGAAGGGAUAAAUGGUCAUUUUUCUUAUGGACUGUGCUGCAGCCUUUAAAUCAGCAAAAACAUAAUUUUUUAAUUCUUCUAACACAGCUUCCUGAUAAGCUUGCUGUGAAUUCAUUGCAUGUUUUCAAACUCAUGACUGUAGUACUGAAGAAUAUAAUCCAAACAGAUGGAUGAUUAAUUAAAUGAGAAGUAAUUAAAAAGAAACACGAUUUCAUGCUUUAUAAAGUAUCAGGAUUUUUGGUAGUUGUCUUGUUCUCUGUGUCCUGUAGAACUUACUGAUAAAUUAUAAUACAGAUACCAAUACUUCAAACCAGUCAAGAAAAAUUAAAGAGUUUCAUUUAUGCAAUCUGAAAUUAGUUUGGAGUACUAAAAAAUUAAGACAAUUAAAAUUUGGGACAUCUCAGCUGCCUGAUUAAACAUGCAACAAGAUGUGUGACUGACACUCCUCUCCAAUCUUCAUUUAUUUGUUAAAUAUUAAAAAACUCCUCAGAUGUAUAUAAGCCAUCUGCUGUUCUCACAUUUAUUGAACCUUGCUAUAAUAUGCAUCUGCAAAGCCUUCUCAUUUGAUGCCAUUAACUAUGGAAAUUUGCUCAUGAAAUUUUCCAGUAGAAAAACCUCAUGCUUUCUAGACACUUCUGAUUAUGGCCCAAUCUUCUUUUCUCUUUUGUCUGCAGCAGGUCAAUUUUGAUCAUCACAGCUACGCUGCAGACUGCCUUGGUACUAAAUAACCCUGACUGAGGCUCUGCGACCAGGAUGGGUCCUUCUCACUGAUGUUAUUUUCUCAGUGCAUUGCAGACAUUUCCACCUGGAGAUGGGGCCCUUGCACAGCCAAUGGACUACAGAGCCAGAGUUCUGGAUGCUGAAUGUCACUGUCCAGCAUUGCCAGAGGACACAGCAGAGGAGCACAGUGAUGUUAACAUUGCUGUGUUAUUGGUCACACAGCAGCCUCACUGUUUGGGUCCCAGUAUUUGCAUGGACAUAGCACCACAGCCCACUGCCAAUGACGACGAGUCAACAAGAAAAUUAAGUAGCCACAUCCACUGAGGAAGCUGGGUCUUCAUUCUUCUGCAAGAGGACAAAGACGCAUCUACACACUAUUUAUUUACUAACGUGUUGCUCCAGGCAAGUUUUCAUCAGUCAUUCUGAAGACCAUUAUAUAAGAGGUGAGUGCUAACAGAAGACAGCUUUUGGGUGGAUAUUUCAGCCAGUGCCAGGAAGUCAUCUAUAUGCAAUUUUGGAAGCAGAAACUCUGUUUGUUAAGGAUCCCUCACAUUCAACAUUCUGAGUAAUUGUAUGCAUAAUUAUCCAUCAUACAGAACAGAGUUGUAAUAGUUCUACUGGAUGGAAAGAAAGCAUCUCAAAGGUAGGGAGUAAUUACUGCAAUGUUGUUUAAAUAGUCCCCAGAAAGAGCUUUAAGGGUGGUCAGAUGUUUUUGCAUUGCAAAGAUAAAAACUGGCCUUUCUGCAUUUUGUUUACCAAUAACUGUAAACAGCUUUUUUUUUUUUUCUUUUUUCUUUUUUUUUUUUUUUUCUGAUGACAGUAACAUUUUAAUGUAUUUGAACAGUAAGUAAUCUUUUGGAAAUAUAAAAUUUGGCAAGCUAAAAAAAUGAAGACAAUCUAUAAAUGCAUCAAUAAUUUUGUACAGCUGAUCACUGCUCCAAGUGCAUUCACAGCAAAAAGGAGAAAGAACCCAUCUGCAGGCUUUCUAGAUAUAAGAAAACUGAUAGAAUGAAAAACUAUCUGGAUCAAAUUGAAUCAAAAGCAAGGCACACACCCUUUUUCUAACAGCUAAGAACAAAAGCUGGAUUUCAAAGUGCAAAAGGUUCCUCAUGUCGACGUUCACUUUUGCAAUGUUAACCUACUAGUUCCCUUUAUAAAAAAAAGAGAUAAAACCAAGUAAGGUUUCUCUCUCCUUUGUCAUGAAGGAAAAAGGAAGAAUUAUUUGCAGCUUUGCAUAGUCAUUUCUCAAGUGUCUUGGACUGGGUAUCUGGUUUUUACUUAACUAGGUCAUAGAAAAGAGAUUUACAUUUUUGACACCUCAUUUCCAGUUAUCAGGGAGGAACAUGCAUGCCUGACUAAUAAAUGUUUUCAUUUAAAUAUGUUUUUGGUCUAUUUAGAUUUCCUCAGGUAUUCAGGAGUUGACCAUUCUCUGAACAGCCUGAAGCUGAAUUGGAAGAUCACAAAAGAAGAAAGGAAAGAUUUAGAACUACAUUUGUUUCAUGUUUCUCAGGCUUGUUCCUGGAUGGGAUUGGAAUACCCAAAUAUAGAAGUUGAUUACCUGUCAGGUGACUGGGCUUCCAAAUUUCUAAGUUCCUCAUAAAAAAAUCCAUAAACCUAAGUGAAAAGAAUCUACUUCUACACAUUCCUGAGUCCAACCGAUGGCUUUUAACAAACAAAUGAUUUCAGUGUAGCUGACAGGCUGGGCACAAUCUAACGGAUUGUAUGCUGCAGCCCCAUCGAUCCUCCUGGCUUUAAGUGCUGUUUCAGUGUGUAAUUCAUUCCAAUAAAAAAAUAUAAUCCAGUUGUUACUGGUAUAUUAUGAAUUUCUGAACAAAUUGUAAAUCAUCUUUUGGGAUUUUUUAGAGGUAAGGCUUUUAGGUCACUCUGAAAUCCAUUCCUGACAUUUAAGUGUAUAUUGCCCAUAACCAGUACUGGAAUUUUGUGUUAGUUAUCCAACUGUAAAUGAAUAAUACUGCCUGUUACUGGAGUGACAGAAACAAAGAAAUGAUGCUUUUUGGAGAUGAUAACCAUGUGUUUCCAGCUAACCUACCAAAAACAGGCAGACAUGGGAAUGUCUGAAUUGUCUGAAAGGACAAGUUCUUUGGGGCACUAAGUCAGAUCUGGGCUAAAUGUUAUGUUAGUAAUAUGUUUGCAAUAAAACAUAUUCAACUCUUAAAA